rnacentral:rRNA from 1 species
AUGCCGCCCUGGGUGCUCGCGAACCUCGCGCUCUCGGAGGCUUGGUCCCUCAAAUGGUCCAAGACCACUGUCAAGUCAUACGUCCACACCCGGCGUCGGCUCAACACCCAGCUCCUCCAAGUGGGGAUGGUGGAGUCUAAGCGUGACAUCUGCCUCCAAGCCGAGGACAAGCGGCAAGGUGCGGCGGAGUGUCUGCACAACGGGCGUGCCACAACAACAAGGGAGGGAUGUCGCGACGCAUGCGGGCCUUCCACCACCGGCGCGACGACGACGGCUCGAACACCGGUGACGACGACAAAUGUGUCGGUGACCUCGGUCUGCUACAAUGCUCAGGCUCCUUUGGUUCAUAGGAUAGGAAUAUUAUAA